rnacentral:rRNA from 1 species
AGCGAACGCUGGCGGCAGGCCUAACACAUGCAAGUCGAACGGACCCUUCGGGGUUAGUGGCGGACGGGUGAGUAACACGUGGGGACGUGCCUUUAGGUUCGGAAUAGCUCCUGGAAACGGGUGGUAAUGCCGAAUGUGCCCUUUGGGGGAAAGAUUUAUCGCCUUUAGAGCGGACCGCGUCUGAUUAGCUAGUUGGUGAGGUAAUGGCUCACCAAGGCGACGAUCAGUAGCUGGUCUGAGAGGAUGACCAGCCACACUGGGACUGAGACACGGCCCAGACUCCUACGGGAGGCAGCAGUGGGGAAUCUUGCGCAAUGGGCGAAAGCCUGACGCAGCCAUGCCGCGUGAAUGAUGAAGGUCUUAGGAUUGUAAAAUUCUUUCACCGGGGACGAUAAUGACGGUACCCGGAGAAGAAGCCCCGGCUAACUUCGUGCCAGCCGCCGCAGUAA